AAAAAAAUAAAAAAAAAAACAAUAAAAAAAUGCCAACGGCACGUAGUGUUCCCAAGCGGUCACCCAUCCAAGUACUAACUACGCCCGACGUUGCUUAACUUCAGUGAUCGGACGAGAACUGGUGUAUUCAACGUGGUAUGGUCGUUGGCGUUUAGGUGAUUCGCUACCAAGUUAUUUAAACAUCCACUCACCUAUGACAAUAAUACUCGUACAUUUUUUAAAAAUUAUUUCAUUGAAACUAUAGCUCGCA